CCAAAUGAGGCACCAUCCGAAGGCUUUUUGCCAGGAUGGUGCUGAUGG
rnacentral:ncRNA from 2 species